rnacentral:lncRNA from 1 species
AAGCCCACCCCGGCCCUCCGGCUGCGGCAUGGGGACUCUCACCUUCUGGUCUCCUCUGCUGCUAGGGACGACGCCCAGCGUGUGCGCCGCGGCUGCCCGGCCCCCCUGUCCACCCGGUUAGGAGUCAUGGCAGAGCUCUCGGAGCCGCUCAGCUGGGCUCCAGAGGUCAGGGAGGAAGUGGGCUUCAGCUCGGGGAUGUCAAGGUCCCGCAGUGAGGGAUGGAAUUACCACCGGAGUUAGGCCCACCGUGAGUGUCCGGCCAAGGGCGGUGAAAGGUAAUGGCAUCUCUCAGUUCACCACGGAACCCAGCAUGAUAGGGUGGUCAUCGGUGUAACCACUUAGGGGGCCAAAGCUUGUAAGCAUUCUAAUGCACAGAACAUCCUAGAAGCUAGAAGCUAUUCAGACCCACUUACAAAGGGACUUUUAUUCUCACAGGGUUAUGGGGCCCAGGGCAAGCCUUUAUAUUCUGUUUAAGAAUCCUUCACAUACCUUGAAUAUGUCACCACAGCAUUACCAAUUUAGGAGGGAAAUACGGGUAUCGAAGAGAUGUCCGUCUUCUUUACUCACAACACCCAUCAAAUCUACAAGUUUUCAAAGAGAAUCUGAGCAAAACAAAUCAUGUGCAGAUAUUAGCUCACCUUUGGCUUAUCCCAAAGGGCAGAAUACACUUUGAAGUAGGUGCAGAUAUGAAAUGUAUUAUACUGCAUAUAUGCACUAUUAUUUGGCACGUUGGUAAAGUGGUAAAAAAAAAAAAAAAAAAAAAAAAAAAAAAAAAAAAAAACGUUUUAGGCCGGGCGCAGUGGCUCAUGCCUGUAAUCCCAGCACUCUGGGAGGCCGAGGUGGGUGGAUCACCUGAGGUCAGGAGUUCAAGACCAGCCAAAGUUCAAGACCAUGGCCAAACCCCGUCUCUACUAAAAAUACAAAAAUUAGCCGGGCAUGGUGGCACACACUUGUAAUCCCAGCUACUCGGGAGGCUGAGGCAGGAGAAUUGCUCCAACCCAGGAAGCAGAGGUUGCAGUGAGCCAAGAUCAUGCCACUACACUCCAGCCUGGGUGACAGAGUUAGACUCCGUCUCAAAAAAAAAAUUUUUUAAUAGAAGAAAAUACUAGAAUCUUGCACUAUCUCAGGAACAGCAGAGGUUACUGGAAUGAGAAAACUUACAGACUCAAAAGAUUACCAGAUCAGGAUAAAUAGCUAAUGCAUGCAGAGCUUAAUACCUAGGUGAUAAGUUGAUAGGUUCAGCACACCACCAUGGCACACACGUUUACCUAUGUAACAAACCUGCACGUCCUGCACAUGUAUCCUGGAACUUCAAAUUAAAUUAAAAAUUUUUUAAAAGAUUCCCCAAAAAGAAGAAAGAGGAGGAUUUAUCUGAAUGAAAAUAAUAGAUUUAUGGUAUAAAACCCUGUGCUCCAAAUAUUGAUAUGGUACUGACUUACUGUAUAAUUCUUUUUUUUUUUUUUUUUUUUGAGACGGAGUCUCACUCUGUCACCCAGGCUGGAGUCCAGUGGUGCAACUUCUGGACUAGGCUCACUGCAACUUCUGCCUCCUGGGUUCAAACAAUUCUGCCUCAGCCUCCUAAGUAGCUGGGAUUACAGGCCUGUGCCACCACACCUGGCUAAUUUUUGAAUUUUUAGUAGAGACGGGGUUUUACUAUGUUGGCCAGGCUGGUCUCAAACUCCUGACCUCGUGAUCUGCCUGCCUUGGCCUCCCAAUAUGCUGGAAUUACAGGCGUGAGCCACCACGCCCAGCCCUGUAUGAUUCUUGUAAGGGUCUUCUGAAAGUAAGACUUGCAUUACCAGAUUACUGAUUAUCUUUGGAAAGAGUGAGUUGACCUGUCAUAGCCUCAGUUUUAGCCCAUUUAAAAUGGGAGCCUUCUAUCAUUACAUGAUCUCUAAAAUAUCUUCCAGUUCUAAAGUUCUCUCCUGCCAGGGGCAUCCUUCAAAUGACUGGCACACAUUUCCAAACUGCUCCCUGAUUUGGCUUAGGUAGCCUUAGUUUUGGUCUGACAUAAUUUAGAUGUAUCCUGUGACACUGAAUAAGGGAAAACUGGCAGAGGAAAGAAUCUGCAAAAAUACCUUCUGAGUAUUUCUUUAUCAUACCACUAGGAGAGUUGCCUGGAAUUAACAUCCAAUAAAACGUAAAUAUACUGGUCCUAAAUGUGAGGGAGGUGUCAGGUUAAUAAUAUACAAUAUGAUUCCAGGUUAGACUUUAAAUCAAAUGAUGUCUGUCAUAUAAAAUUAUUCAGCAUAUCAAAAACAUUGGGAAUUUCAGAAUCAAAGAGAGUUUAUAUUCAAAUAGAUAUUUAUAAUUAUCAUCUCUUCUGACCAAAAUCUAAUAACCUUUUGUUUAUGAAGCAAGAUUAUUAAAAUUUUUGUUCUAUCCAACUUUUCAAAGAAUUGAAAUUAUACUGUAACAUGUACAGAAUAGAACAGAACAUGAGUGGGCAUAUGCUCUUUAAAUAUUCAUUUGAAUAAAGACACAUGCACAUGUUUGUUUAUUGCAGCACUAUUUACCGUAGCGAAGACUUGGAACCAACCCAAAUGCCCAUCAACGAGAGACUGGAUAAAGAAAAUGUGGCACAUAUACACCAUGGAAUACUAUGCAACCAUAAAAAAGAAUUAGUUCAUGUCCUUUGCAGGGACAUGGAUGAAGCUGGAAACCAUAAUUCUUAGCAAACUAACACAGGAACAGAAAGCAAACACCACAUGUUCUCACUCACAAGUGGGAGUUGAACAAUGAGAACACAUGGACGCAGGGAGGGGAACAUCACACAUCAGGGCCUGUCGGGGGGUGGGGGGCAAGGGGAAGGAAAGCAUUAGGACAAACAUCUAAUGCAUGUGGGGCUUAAAACUUAGAUGACAGGUUGAUAGGUGCAGCAAACCACCAUGGGGGUUGAUAGGUACAGCAAACCACCAUGGCACAUGUAUACCUGUGUAACAAACCUGCACUUUCUGCACAUGUAUCCCAGAACUUAAAGUAAAAUUAAAAAAAAAGAGGGAAAUGUGUGUGUGUGUGUAUGUAUAUGUAUAUAUAUUCAUUUGAGGCCUGAUGCCAUGGCUCACACCUAUAAUCCCAGCACUUUGGGAGGCCGAGAUCGGAGGAUUACUUGAAAGCAGGAGUUUGAGAUCAGCCUAGUCAACAUAGUAAAACCCCCCAUCUCUAUGAAAAAAUAAAAAAAAAAGAAUAAAUAUAUUCUAAGUGUAUUUUGGCAUGCUACACAAUCACACUUAACAAAGCUAACAAUUCA